rnacentral:rRNA from 1 species
UACGGAGGUGCAAGCGUUGUCCGGAAUCACUGGGCGUAAAGGGCGCGUAGGCGGCUCAUGAAGGCUGUGGUGAAAGUCCGGGGCUCAACCUCGGAUCGGCCGUGGCGACUCGUGGGCUGGAGCACUGUAGAGGCGGGUGGAAUUCCGGGUGUAGCGGUGGAAUGCGUAGAGAUCCGGAAGAACACCAGUGGCGAAGGCGGCCCGCUGGGCAGUGGCUGACGCUGAGGCGCGAAAGCGUGGGGAGCAAACAGGG